rnacentral:rRNA from 1 species
GACAGAGGGUGCAAACGUUGCUCGGAUUUACUGGGCGUAAAGCGCGUGUAGGCGGGCGACUAAGUCGGAUGUGAAAUCCCUGGGCUCAACCUAGGAACUGCAUUCGAAACUGGUCACCUAGAGUGAUGGAGGGGAAAGCGGAAUUCCCGGUGUAGAGGUGAAAUUCGUAGAUAUCGGGAGGAACACCAGUGGCGAAGGCGGCUUUCUGGACAUUUACUGACGCUGAGACGCGAAAGCGUGGGGAGCAAACAGG